ensembl:lncRNA
GGGAGGUGGGGCAAGGAGAGAAAGAGAGAGAGAGCGGUGGGGCAGGAACGAGAGAUGAGGGGGUCGGGAAGGAGAGAAAUAUAGAGCAAGAAAGAGAGGUCAUGAGCCCAUGGGCCCCUGAGUUCUUCAAAAAUUAAAUUUUGAAUUAAAGUUAUAAACUUGGAUUUUGUCACAAGGAUUUAUACAGGAUACUAACCUCCACAUCAAAACCUUCAAUCCAAAUCGAAAUUCCAUACGUAAAACCUUGAUUUUGGACAAAAUUAACUGAAUGGAUUAUUACUAAAAAAGACUAUCAAGAAAAAAACUUCCAACAAACCAAAAUCUGCAGAAGAAACACAGUGGAACCUGGAAAUACCAUCCAACACAAAACUGAGUUUCCCCCGGAGCACUUUAGGAAGAAACUCGACGUCAGGAAAACCAACGCUCCCGGGAGAGAUGGUGACAUUUACAAGGUUGAUUGGAGGUUUUGUCACGCCUGCUUUGACAGACUGGCCAGAGCUCAGGUCUCAACAGUUUGGCAAUUAUCCUCUAACACACACACACACACACACACACACACACACACACACACACACACACACACACACACACACACACACACACACACACACACACACACACACACACACACACAGCCUGCAUGUCAAUGCGUCAAUGACAGGAGAUGGAGAUAAGCUGUCUGUAUUUCUCCACUCUCUCAAUCUCUCUCUCUCAUUAGUGUGUGUAUGUAAGGGGUUUGGUUGGUUGGGAAUAACUGUAGAGGUGUGAAACUCUGGAGACCUGUGUAGCGCAGUUGGUAGUGCAUGGGGCUGGCAGUGCCAGGGUUAUGAGUUCAAAUCCCAUGGGCGACUAGUAUGACCACAUAUGACUCACUACUGUCAGUUGCUCUGGAGAAGAAUGUCUGCUAAAUUACAAAUUUUUCAGUCUGACAUACCAGGCUGGUCACAAGAAAAGCACAGUUGAUUUUGGACAUUUGAAAAAGUCCUGAGGAUGUCGAUAUAUAGAAUGCAUUUGUAGGUGUUCACCCCCCUAAAAGAACAAUGGCACUGGGCUUGAACUCAGAGAGCACGGCUUAGAUCACACUUGUCUACCAAGCAGGGAGAGUGCUUGAUAAUACUUAAUGGAAGCAAAAAAUUACUUUUAGUAUCAAGCCUUCCCCAAACCAUAGCCCUAACUUUAACCAUUCGGAAUUAAUACCAAAACUUAACCCUUUGUGUUGUUUCUGUUUUAACUCUGUAACCACGUGGAAUGAAUGGGCAGAAAAUCACCUUUCAUCCAAUUGUGGCAAAUUCUGAAUUGAAAGUAUAAAAUCAGGUUGAAUAUACCAUCCAUCUUAAGCCUUUCCAGACACACACACACAUGCACGUACGUACGCACACACACACACAGACACACACACACACACACACACACACACACACACGCACGCACACACGCACGCACACACACACGCAGACACAGACACACACACACACACACACACACACACACGCACACACACGCACACACGCACGCACACACGCACGCACACACGCACGCACACACACACGCAGACACACACACACACACACGCAGACACACACACACACACAGAAGUAAUUGCAAAAUUGGGGCAACAGAAAUUAAAGCUUGAUCAGCAGGUGUAUCUCACUGAUCAUCCCUAAAGCCAACACCUCAAUUGGCCGCCUUUCCUUCCAGUUCUCUGCUGCCUGUGACUGGAACGAAUUGCAAAAAUCGCUGAAGUUGGAGAAUUUUAUCUCCCUCACCAACUUCAAACAUCUGCUAUCUGAGCAGCUAACCGAUCGCUGCAGCUGUACAUAGUCUAUCGGUAAAUAACCCACCCAAUUUUACCUACCUCUUCCCCAUACUGUUUAUAUUUAUUUACUUUUCUGCUCUUUUGCACACCAAUAUCUCUACCUGUACAUGACCAUCUGAUCAUUCAUCACUCCAGUGUUAAUCUGCAAAAUUGUAAUUAUUCGCCUACCUCUUCAUGCCUUUUGCACACAAUGUAUAUAGACUCCCCCUUUUUUUCUACUGUGUUAUUGACUUGUUAAUUGUUUACUCCAUGUGUAAAUCUGUGUUGUUGUCUGUUCACACUGCUAUGCUUUAUCUUGGCCAGGUCGCAGUUGCAAAUGAGAACUUGUUCUCAACUAGCCGUUUUCCUUUAUGACUUAAUUUGUAAUCAAGGUAUAAUUGAUUCUUUGUAUAUGUAAUUCUGUGUGAUUAGUUAGGUAAUUAGUAAAUAAAUAAUUAACCCACAUUUUUUAUUGCUGAUUCAACUUGUUAGCCAGGGUUCGUGAAGAUAACCAAGAAUUUACAACUUUAGGUUGUAAAUAGGUUAUUGUGGCGAAGUAAUUACAAUAUAGCAAUUAAACACUGGAAUUGUAGAUGUGCAGAAGAUGAAUGUGUAAAUAGAGAUACUGGGGUGCAAAGGAGCAAGAUAAAUAAAUAAAUACAUUAUGGGGAUGAGGUGGUUGGAUGGGCUAUUUACAGAUGGGCUAUGUACAGGUGCAAUGAUCUGUGAGCUGCUCUGACAGCUGGUGCUUAAAGGUAGUGAGGGAGAUAUGAGUCUCCAGCUUCAGUGAUUUUUGCAGUUCGUUCCGGUCAUUGGCAGCAGAGAACUGGAAGGAAAGACCAAAUGAAAAAUUGGCUUUGGGGGUGACCAGUGAGAUAUACCUGCUGGAGUGUGUGAUACAGGUGGGUGCUGCUAUGGUGACCAGUCAGCUGAGAUAAGGUGGAGAUUUACCUAGCAGAGACUUGUAGAUGACCUGGAGCCAGUGGUUUUGGCGACGAGAAUGAAGCGAGGGCCAGCCAACGAAAGCAUCCUGGUCGCAGUGAUGAACGGGGUACCUUCAGGCGUUUGGAAAUUGCUCCCAAGGAUGAACCAGACACGUGGAGUUCUUGGCUGAUUUAUUUUGAUUUUCCCAAGCAAAGAGGCACUGAGAUUGAAGGUACGCCUUGAAAUACAUCCACAGGUACACCUCCAAUUGACUCAAAUGAUGUCAAUUAGCCUAGCAGAAGUUUCUAAAGCCAUGACAUAAUUUUCUGGAGUUUUCCAAGCUGUUUAAAGGCACAGUCAGCUUAGUGUAUGUAAACUUCUGACCCACUGGAAUUGUGAUACAGUGAAUUAUAAGUGAAAUAAUCUAUCUGUAAACAAUUGUUGGAAAAAUUACUUGUGUCAUUGUAACGGCUGUUGGAAGGAGAAGACCAAGGUGCAGAGUGGUAUGUGUCCAUAUUUAUUAAAUGAACACGGGAAAAAAAAACAACAACACAGAGAACGACCGAAACAGUUCUGGCUGGUGCAGACACACAACAGAAAACAAUCACCCGCAACCAAAAUAGGGAAAACAGGCUAAGUAUGAUUCUCAAUCAGAGACAACGAUCAACAGCUGCCUCUGAUUGAGAACCGUACCAGGCCAAACACAGAAAUACAACAUAGACAAAAGAACAUAGACUAACCACCCCAACUCACGCCCUGACCAGACUAACACAAAGACAUAAUAAAGAAACUAAGGUCAGAACGUGACAGUCAUGCACAAGAAGAUGUCUUAAUUAACUGACUUAACAAAACGAUAGUUUGUUAACAAUACAUUUGGAGUGGUUGAAAAGCUAGUUUUAAUGACUCCAACCUAAGUUUUCUUUUUCUUUUUUUUCCCACCUUUAUUUAACCAGGUAGGCUAGUUGAGAACAAGUUCUCAUUAACAACUGCGGCCUGGCCAAGAUAAAGCCAAGAUAAAGCAAAGCAGUGUGAAGCAGUGUGAACAGACAGCAACACAGAGUUACACAUGGAGUAAACAAUAAACAAGUCAAUAACACAGUAAAAAAAAUUAAAAAAAGAGUCUAUAUACAUUGUGUGCAAAAGGCAUGAGAAGGUAGGCGAAUAAUUACAAUUUAGCAGAUUAAAACCUCUAAGAGCUCCCUCCCUACUUUGUGCAAUUUCUGCCUGAAGACAUACCCAAAUCUAACAGCCUGUAGCUCAGGCACAGAACCAAGGAUAUGCAUAUUCUUGGUACCAUUUGAAAGAAAACACUCUGAAGUUUGUGUAAAUGUGAAUUGGAUGUGGGAGAAUAUAACACAAUAGAUCUGGUUUAGAUAAAACAAUGGAAAAAAACAUACGUUUUUUAUUUUUAUUUUUGUAUCAUCAUCUUUAAAAUGAACAAGAUAAAACAAACAUUCAGACAGGAUGAUGGGGCCAAUUUCAGUGAAAACUAUAAGAGGGCAACCGUACUUGUGCAAAGUUUCAGAAUGAUAACUUCCAAAAUGAGUGUGCUUACAUGACAUUUAUCAUGAAGUCACCCAGGUGUCCCACACAAGUAGCCCAAAUGUACCCAAGUGGCCAAAUUGGUGAAGGUAUACAUUUUGAAACAAAUAACUAUAUACAAAAUACCAAAAUGGUAUUCUAACACACACCCCCCCCAAAAACUGUGAAAAAGAAAUGAAAAAAAAAAAUUGGAAAAAAAAAAAAUAUUGAUAAGAAAAUAUAUGAAAAAAGAUAUAUACAUUUACAAAAUAACAUGGGUAACUAUUUACACACUUUCAAUAUUUGGAAGACGCUCAGUCCUCUAUCAAAUCAAAUCUAUUUACAUAGCCCCAGCCUAAAACCCCAAACAGCAAGCAAUGCAGGUGUAGAAGCACGGUGGCUAGGAAAAACUCCCUAGAAAGGCAAAAACCUAGGAAGAAAACUAGAGAGGAACCAGGCUAUGAGGGGUGGCCUGUCCUCUUCUGGCUGUGCCGGGUGGAGAUCACAGUGGUUGUAGAGGGUGCAACAGGAGAGCACCUCAAGAGUAAAAAUGAACAGUUUAGGGUUCCAUAGCCGCAGGCAGAAUAGUUGAAACUGGAACAGCAGCAAGGCCGGGUGGACUGGGGACAGCAAGGAGUCAUCAUGGCAGGUAGUCCUGAAGCAUGGUCCAAGUGCUCAGGUCCUCCGAGAGAAAGAAGGAGAGAAAGAGAGAGGAGACUUAAAUUCACACAAGACACCGGAUAAGCCAGGAAAAGUACUCCAGAUAUAACAUACUGACCCUAGCCCCCACCCACUUUGCCAUAUAACCCCACCAACUUUGCCAAAACUCUGGACAAUAUUCUGCUGCUGAUGCCAGAUGCCAUAGCAGUCUCUUUCUGACGUAAAGCAGAGGGUCACUGAGCAUGUGGUGCAUGUGAUGGGAGACUUCAUCUUGCAAACAACACAGCAACGCCUCCAUGUUGUGCCCUUAGGCAUAUCCAUGCCUGCACAAAUAUAUUUGGGCAGAUGAACACUUGUGGCAGGAGCAGAAGGGACAGGGCUUGGUGCAGUGGUGCUGUAGCCAGCAAGCUCCUUGAUGCUCCCUCUAAUGUAGACUGAUUGGAGGAAGCAUGCUGGCUGCGUUGAGAUGUAUGGGUUUGCAUUCUACACCAUACCAUUUUUAUAUAUAUCUAUAUCGAUAUAGAUAUAUAUAUAUAUACACACACACACAGACAUGGGCUAUGGUCGUUCUCAUAUAAACAAACAGACCUUCACUCACAAUGACUAGCUAACGUGUACUUUACCCAUUUCAUUACAUCUUUAUACAUUGCAAAUAAAAUGUAAAAACAAUCAAAAAUAAUAUUUUAUAUUAAUUUCAAACAAUGGCAUUAGCAUGAGAGCAACUUACCAGUCCAAAACAAUGUCCUCUCCGUUCAAAAAAUAUGCCUCAGUUUCAGAGUCAUCAAAAAGCAGAUCUGUCUCACUUUCCUCUAAAAUUGUUUCUACAUUCGUAUAUCUAGUCUUAGAAUUUGCUUUCCUUGACUUAUUCGCCAUGAUGUUGGAUACAUAAACAGCUGAAGAUGCAAGUCACCGAAAUACUGCUGUGCGUAAUAAGCGUUGCUCCUUCACGGUUGAAUUGGCAAUGGUGAAAGAAUGGUCCUUACGCCAGCGUUCAACGGAAAGGUUUGUCUUUCAACAAAGAAGCAUGGGAUAAUGCCGCUUACCUCUGCUCAUUGGCUAUCUACCCAGCUAGAUUUCAAGACUAUCAGUGGUCAUUGGGUUAAAAUACAGUCAAUCAAUGAGACAGUGGUCAUAUAAUUGGUGCACAAUGGGCUCGUCACUUGUUGUCUUCCAAUUGUUUUUUCCGGGUCAAUACGUCCCGCAAAAUUACCCAUCAUGUUUGGUUGUGUUACAAACAAACAGCUGAUUGCAAGGAAACCAAACUUGACUGGAUAAAGUCAGGGAAAGUCGCUCUAUUUUAAGUUGGAUGUUAUGUUGAAAAUUGAAUGACACGAAAUUCAACGAGAUAAGCGUUCACAAAAUGUUUCGUGUUAGGCUAUAAAAAAUGGAGUUAACCAAACAAAAGACCAUUCAUUGUGUAACAAUGAGCCUUGGGAUUGCAACCAGAGCAAGAUCUUCAAAGGUAAAUGAUUUAUUUCAAUGCAAUCUGUGAUUUUGAUAUGCAAGUGCUGGUUGAAUAAGUCGUUUGAUAUGGGGGUCUGUGCUCAGAUAAUCGCAGCGUAUUCUUUCGCAAUAAUUCAUUUUUUAUAUCUGACAACGCAGUUGGAUUAGCAAGAUUCUAGGCUUUCGAACCAUGUGAGACAUUUGUAUUUUCAUGAAUGUUUAAUAUGACUAUUUAUGUAGCGAUCACCGUAUGUUGUCAAAUUUAAUCCCGGUGGGUUCGGUGCGCAGAGGUUAACACUGGAGUGAUAAAAGAUCAGAUGGUCAUGUGCAGGUAGAGAUACUGGUGUGCAAAAGAGCAGAAAAGUAAAUAAAUAAAAACAGUACGAGGAUGAGGUAGGUAAAUUGGGUGGGCUAUUUACCGAUGGACUAUGUACAGCGGCAGCGAUUGGUUAGCUGCUCAGAUGGCAGAUGUUUAAAGUUGGUGAGGGAGAUAAAAGUUUUUGCAAUUCGUUCCAGUCACAGGCAGCAGAGAACUGGAAGGAAAGGCGGCCAAAUGAGGUGUUGGCUUUCGGGAUGAUCAGUGAGAUACACCUGGUGGAGCGCGUGCUACGGGUGGGUGUUGCCAUCAUGACCAGUGAACUGAGGUAAGGCGGAGCUUUACCUAGCAUGGACUUGUAGAUGACCUGGAACCAGUGGGUCUGGCGACGAAUAUGUAGCGAG